rnacentral:sRNA from 1 species
GCGGGGAGAGCCCGGCGCUCGGCGCAGCGCGGCGCGGCCAAGCUCCGCGCCUCUCCCGCCCCUCCUCGGCGCGCUCGCCCUCGCCUCGCCGCUCGCAUUCGCUGGGGGCGCCCAGAAAGAUGCACAGAGGCAACGGCUAGGGGAACGGAGGUUCAAGCCACAUGUCUGCGUCCUCGGGGGCCGGAGCCCGCCAGCCCUCGCGGAUCCCGGCUCGCGGCCAGCCCGAGCGGCUCGGGUUUUAAAAAUCAAUUUGAUUGGCCACAGGAAACGUAUUUUGGCAUCUCUGGGAGACAGGCUGCACGACGAUCCCCCACAGAAGCCCCCUCGGUCCAUCACCCUCAGGACAGGAGACUGGGGAGAACCUUCCAUUACCUUGCGACCUCCGAAUGAAGCCACAGCCUCUACCCCGGUACAGUACUGGCAGCAUCACCCAGAAAAGCUUAUCUUCCAGUCGUGUGAUUACAAAGCUUUU